GGGGAAUAUUGGACAAUGGGCGCAAGCCUGAUCCAGCCAUGCCGCGUGGGUGAAGAAGGCCUUCGGGUUGUAAAGCCCUUUUGUUGGGAAAGAAAAGCAGCCGGCCAAUACCCGGUUGUUCUGACGGUACCCAAAGAAUAAGCACCGGCUAACUUCGUGCCAGCAGCCGCGGUAAUACGAAGGGUGCAAGCGUUACUCGGAAUUACUGGGCGUAAAGCGUGCGUAGGUGGUGGGUUUAAGUCCGUUGUGAAAGCCCUGGGCUCAACCUGGGAAGUGCAGGGGGUAAUGGGACAAUAGAGGGGGGCAGAGGGUAGGGGAAGUCCCGGGGUAGCAGUGAAAUGCGUAGGGGUCGGGAGGAACAUCAGUGGCGAAGGCGACUGCCUGGGCCAACACUGAAACUGAGGCACGAAAGCGUUGGGAGCAAACA
rnacentral:rRNA from 1 species